UUCGUAGGUGGCCAACUAAGUCAGACGUGAAAUCCCUCAGCUUAACUGGGGAACUGCGUCUGAUACUGGUUGGCUUGAGUGCAGGAGAGGAACGCGGAAUUCCAGGUGUAGCGGUGAAAUGCAUAGAUAUCUGGAGGAACACCGGUGGCGAAGGCGGCGUUCUGGACUGCAACUGAUACUGAUGAACGAAAGCCAGGGGAGACGAAACG
rnacentral:rRNA from 1 species